rnacentral:rRNA from 1 species
GUGGGGAAUAUUGCACAAUGGGCGCAAGCCUGAUGCAGCAACGCCGCGUGAGGGAUGACGGCCUUCGGGUUGUAAACCUCUUUUAGUAGGGAAGAAGCGUAAGUGACGGUACCUGCAGAAAAAGCACCGGCUAACUACGUGCCAGCAGCCGCGGUAAUACGUAGGGUGCAAGCGUUGUCCGGAAUUAUUGGGCGUAAAGAGCUCGUAGGCGGCUUGUCGCGUCUGCCGUGAAAACCCAGGGCUCAACUCUGGGCGUGCGGUGGGUACGGGCAGGCUAGAGUGCGGUAGGGGAGAUUGGAAUUCCUGGUGUAGCGGUGGAAUGCGCAGAUAUCAGGAGGAACACCGAUGGCGAAGGCAGAUCUCUGGGCCGUAACUGACGCUGAGGAGCGAAAGCAUGGGGAGCGAACAGGAUUAGAAACCCCUGUAGUCC